rnacentral:rRNA from 1 species
GUGCCAGCCGCCGCGGUAAUACGAAGGGGGCGAGCGUUGUUCGGAUUUACUGGGCGUAAAGGGCGCGCAGGCGGCUAUCCAAGUCAGGCGUGAAAGCCCCGGGCUUAACCUGGGAACUGCGUCUGGGACUGGGUGGCUAGAGUUCGGGAGAGGAGAGUGGAAUUCCCAGUGUAGAGGUGAAAUUCGUAGAUAUUGGGAAGAACACCGGUGGCGAAGGCGGCUCUCUGGACCGAGACUGACGCUGAGGCGCGAAAGCGCGGGGAGCAAACAGGAUUAGAUACCCUGGUAGUCC